rnacentral:rRNA from 1 species
CACGUAGGGGGGCAAGCGUUGUCCGGAUUUAUUGGGCGUAAAGAGCUCGUAGGCGGCUUGCCACGUCUGCCGUGAAAACCAGCAGCUUAACUGUUGGCUUGCGGUUGAUACGGGUUGGCUGGAGUUCGGUAGGGGAGACUGGAAUUCCUGGUGUAGCGGUGAAAUGCGUAGAUAUCGGAAGGAACAUCAGUGGCGAAAGCGGCUUCCUGGACCAGAACUGACGAUCAGGCUCGAAAGCGUGGGGAGGCAAACAGG